rnacentral:rRNA from 1 species
GAUGAACGCUGGCGGCGUGCCUAACACAUGCAAGUCGAACGGAGUCCAGCCUUUAAGACCUUCGGGUCAAAGAGGGGAAGACUGAGUGGCGGACGGGUGAGUAACACGUGGGCAACCUGGCUCAUAGAGGGGGAUAACAGAGAGAAAUUUCUGCUAAUACCGCAUAAGCACACACUGCCGCAUGGCAGAGGGUGAAAAGAGAAUCGCUAUGAGAUGGACCCGCGUCUGAUUAGCCAGUUGGCAGGGUAAGAGCCUACCAAAGCGACGAUCAGUAGCCGAUCUGAGAGGAUGAACGGCCACAUUGGGACUGAGACACGGCCCAAACUCCUACGGGAGGCAGCAGAGGGGGAUAUUGCACAAUGGGGGGAACCCUGAUGCAGCGACGCCGCGUGAGUGAAGAAGUAUUUCGGUAUGUAAAGCUCUAUCAGCAGGGAAGAUAAUGACAGUACCUGAAUAAGAAGCCCCGGCUAACUACGUG